rnacentral:siRNA from 1 species
UUUACCAUUCAAGGCCUAUGUC